AUUGAACGCUGGCGGCAUGCUUUACACAUGCAAGUCGAACGGCAGCGCGGGCUUCGGCCUGGCGGCGAGUGGCGAACGGGUGAGUAAUGCAUCGGAACGUGCCCAGUAGUGGGGGAUAGCCCGGCGAGAGCCGGAUUAAUACCGCAUACGACCUGAGGGUGAAAGCGGGGGAGCGAAAGGCCUCGCGCUAUUGUAGCGGCCGAUGUCGGAUUAGCUAGUUGGUGGGGUAAAGGCUUACCAAGGCGACGAUCCGUAGCUGGUCUGAGAGGACGACCAGCCACACUGGGACUGAGACACGGCCCAGACUCCUACGGGAGGCAGCAGUGGGGAAUUUUGGACAAUGGGGGCAACCCUGAUCCAGCCAUGCCGCGUGCGGGAAGAAGGCCUUCGGGUUGUAAACCGCUUUUGUUCGGGAAGAAAUCCUCUGGGCUAAUACCCCGGGGGGAUGACGGUACCGGAAGAAUAAGCACCGGCUAACUACGUG
rnacentral:rRNA from 1 species